CUAGAGACUGCGGACUUAGGCGGUUUUACAUAAGCUUUAGCGAGCACCGGAAGAAGCAAGCUGGUUAAGUAAUAGAAAUGCGGACCAGAACUUGUGCCUGGGGCUACUCGCAGAGUCAGCAGGAUUUCAAAGAUUCACUGGUCCACAGCUAAGCCAUGUUUCUUCUGAGGCCUUUUAUUCUCAUCCCUGCCAGCGCUGACCUCCCUCAUGAGGAGCAUGAAGUGCAGGGUGGGUGUUUAGCAGGAUCGUUUUAUCAUCCUCUCCAACCACAGGGGAAACUGAGGCUUUUGAAACUCAGGUUGGAUGCUGAGUAAUCACGGCUGUGUGUGUCAACAAGCAAGGGAGGUGACCGCCAUUUCUCCUUCCCCUUAAGGGUUGUUUGCCCUUGCACCCAUGAGAGAUGGCUUCUGCUUCAGUUCUUUGCUUCAAUACCUCCUAUUCACUGAAUCCUUAAAGGAAACAUUUAGCUACCGCUGCACAUAAGUUGGUUGCAUAAUAGGAAAGAAACGAGCCAGGGCUGGAGACCUCAUCUCCACGGAAGCAUUGUAAGGCCAGCGAGGGCUGUUUUACAGAGCCAGCCAUGACUUGGGACUCCCUCUAUACCCUUUCAUCACCAUGACAACAGGCAGCUCCUACUUCACACAUCCAGGAAAAGCAGCUGACAUCUCAAUGCUAAGAACACAGGGGAGAGGUUUACAAAAAAACCACAACAACCACCACCAAAAAAGUCUUUUUGUUUGCCUGUCAACAGAGAGAACACCCCCCCAGAGGCGACUGCAAAGCCAGGGUGAAAGGACAGAAGGAUCACUGCAGCAGAUGCGUUUUUAUAUUGCUCGAUUGGAAGCUGUCCUCAUGACCGCAGUCUGAACGUUAACAGAGAACCGUUCCGGCUGCUUUAACCGUCCUACUCGUAAGCAGCUCUGGAAAAUGAAGUUGCUGCUCUUUAGAGCAUGCUGAUUUAGAGAAGCUGUGAUUCAUAGCCUGCUCUUGCCCAGCCCAGUCAGUCAUCCUCUGUAAGCCUAUGAUGGCACCGGGCUGUACAAGAAGAGGUCUUCCUGUGUGCUUAUUUCUGACUUUGCACUGUGGCAUUCAUCUAUCAAGGCAUGUAAAUAUUUAUUUAUUUAUUUAUUUAUUUAUUUAUUUAUUUAUUUAUUUACCUGGCCCCGAGCUAAUCUGGAACCCACAGAGAUCCGUCUGCCUCUGCCUCCUGGGUACUAAGUUUAGAGGAGCAGCAGUAGGCCUGGCUCUGCUUCUGUAUAUGUAUGUGUGUAAUCAUUUCAAUGGUUGUGUCUGUAUUUAUUGCACAUUUAUCGUGUGUCGGACCCUGCGCUAACAGCUUUCAAUGCAUCGUGUCCGUGGAGUCUGACAAGUCUUUGGAGGUUUUACUACGUUCCCAUUUUAAAGAUAGUACAGAGUAAUGUUAACUGUACAGGAUUUAAGGACAGGCAGCUUGGAUUUUCUUCUUGACUUUCCCACACCCUAACUGUACACCCAGGAGCUAGUAAUAACCUCUCUCAGCAUCUGCUUUCUUAUUUAUAAAAUGAGGCUACAGAUAUGGGAGGAGUGAUUAUAAGGUCUAUCACAGGCAAUUGUUCUGAGUUUCAAUAAUUUGAUGCAAACCAACUGCAUAAAACUCCUGCCAUGUAGUAGACACUCAACAAAUGUUAACUAUUUUGGUUUAUGUCAGACGACAGCAACGCUCGCUUUCUCCCGGGUCUCUAACUGUAAUAGCAAGGUGGUACUCUCCUUGCCUCCCGCCUGUGUUAGCCAACUGAGCAGGCAUUUCGCUGAGGAAGAGAUACUGCCCCCCCCACCCCCUUCUCCAGGUGACUAGCCCAAAUGCUUCUGAUACUAUACACUCUCCACUAACACUGGAUGAGAAGUUGUUAUUUAACGUAAUUUAGGCUCUCUGAGUGUGUGACAAAGUCAACAGGCAACCAGACUGAUAAAAGCAAAAGCCAAGUGAAGCAAAUAAAAACCCUGAGCUAUACAAGUUUGCAGACGUGCCUCAGCCGGUUCGCUCUACGGACCCCAGAACAUUUGUCGCACUGAUUUUCAGAAUGAGAAAGGUAACAGAACUUAUCUCUGUUGUGCAGCAGGGAAGUCUGGGAGCAGAGGAAGCCGGGCAGUGAGCCAGAACCCUUCCAGCUGGGAAGGGCGCACGUGUCUGGGAUCAGGAUUAUAGAAAGGGCCGAGGAUGUGACGUCUUGAAGCCUCAGACAAUGGGAUGUUUUUUCCUCAGCUCAGGUUUGGAGUGUGAGCAGCUCCUCUGAGGAAGGGACAAGGGUUUGUUUCUUCCAGGGCCUCUGCACACAUCUGCACGCUUCUCUCUGGUCUUAGCAGCAUAGAGGAUGCUGGCGCCAUUCUGCGAUGGUGUCCCGAGGGAUCAUGGAGCAGCGAGACCAGCCAGGCCAUAUAGAAAAUGAUUUGACUUUUUUGGUUAAAAAAUUUUCUCAAAGACUUCGAACAUUAACUUAUUUUAACUAGCAUUCUCCAUUUAUUUGAGACGGCUUUAUGAGUUUGAUUCCACGUAAUGAGAUUAAUUCCAUGAGAACAAAGAGAAAGAUUUAGUUGGAGAGUGCUUAAAAAACCCAAAACAUCUUGACCCAACUCAAAAUUUUUUUUCUAAUACUGAAUUUGACAUAUUUGUUGGAAUGCUGAAAACAAAGUUCCUUGCAGACAGAUUGUUCACGGAAAACUGGAAUUAAGGCCUAAAUGUAAUUUAUGUCUGAUGAGAGCAGGUCUCAUUUCUAAGAUUGGGGAUUUUCACUCAGUUGUAUGACUAGAGAGAUCUCCUGUUCAGGGAUGAGAACUUUAGGGUACUGUAAUAUAUAAUGACAAACUCACACACAGGAUGUAAGAGAAUACUGACU
ensembl:antisense Gm26703 predicted gene, 26703